rnacentral:rRNA from 1 species
UGGGGAAUAUUGGACAAUGGGCGCAAGCCUGAUCCAGCAAUGCCGCGUGUGUGAAGAAGGCCUUCGGGUUGUAAAGCACUUUUAUCAGGAGCGAAACGCUGUCGGCUAAUACCCGGCGGAACUGACGGUACCUGAGGAAUAAGCACCGGCUAACUUCGUGCCAGCAGCCGCGGUAAUACGAAGGGUGCAAGCGUUAAUCGGAAUUACUGGGCGUAAAGCGUGCGUAGGCGGUUUCUUAAGUCUGCUGUGAAAUCCCCGGGCUCAACCUGGGAAUGGCAGUGGAUACUGGGAGGCUAGAGUGUGUCAGAGGGUGGUGGAAUUCCCGGUGUAGCGGUGAAAUGCGUAGAGAUCGGGAGGAACAUCAGUGGCGAAGGCGGCCACCUGGGACAACACUGACGCUGAGGCNCGAAAGCGUGGGGAGCAAACAGGAUUAGGAUACCCUGGUAGUCCACGCCCUAAAGCGAUGCGAACUGGAUGUUGGUCUCAACUCGGAGAUCAGUGUCGAAGCUAACGCGUUAAGUUCGCCGCCUGGGGAGUACGGUCGCAAGACUGAAACUUAAAUG